CGCUCUUUGUUUUAUUAUAAAGAGUAAGGUCUGCCCAAUGAGGAUUGAAUGGCCGCGGUAUUUUGACCGUGCGAAGGUAGCAUAAUCAUUAGUCUGUUAAUUGUAGGCUGGAAUGAAAGGCUAGAUGAGGGGGGGCUGUCUUUAUUAAUAAAAUGAAUUUUAGGUUUAUGUGAAGACGCAUAGAUGCUGUUAGGGGACGAGAAGACCCUAUUAAGCUUUAUAUUUAAGUUCUAGGUAAGAAUGUUAGGAAGAAGUAUUAUGUUGGGGCGACAGUAGAGGAAACGUCUAUUUGAAAAAGAUGAUAUAAUUAAAUGAUAUAUGAUCCAGAAUUUCUGAUUGGAAGAAUAAGUUACUAUAGGGAUAACAGCGUAAUCUUGCUGGAGAGUUCAUAUUGAUAGUAAGGAUUGCGACCUCGAUGUUGAAUUAGGAUACCCAGGGGGUGUAGCAGUUCUUUAGGGGGGUCUGUUCGACCAUUAAAUUCCUACA
rnacentral:rRNA from 1 species